AACAAUGUGCGAUCAGUGAUUUCUUGUGCUUUAAGGUAUUAGUGACCUGAAAUCCUGGACCCUCAUGACUGGUUACCUUACUGAGAUAUUGAGAAGUUCAGAUACCGAUGUCUUUGAAGACUCUGUUUACAUCAUCCAGCUCAAAUAGCCAUUGGAAAGAGAUUAAAAAAAUGAAAUAACCACAACCAAUGAACAAGCCAGCAGUGUUCUGGAAUAUCUACAACAUCAAUUUGCCUGCUUAUCUUAGGUGUUGCCAUAAACCUUGCGUCAGAGAACUGCUACACUUGCACAGAUCAGCCUUGCAACUCAGGCAUCAGAUAGAUGAAGAUUCUUGAAAACUCUUUGGUGAAAGUCCUGUUUUAUAAGAAAAUGUUCCAGGGUAAUUUCGGUCUGCAUAAAAGAAAAUCUGUCAACAACAUCUUGUUUGCCUGGAUUUCUUGUCCAUUCUAGUUUCCUCUAAAAGAUCAAUCUCCACACAAAGCUGUUUCCACUGUAGCUGCAGAAUGAACUGUGAAACAUAUUUAAGAAGAAAUAUCCAUGUACAGGAGGCUUUGUCUGCUUUUCAGCUGGAACUGGAAAUUCCCAGUUGAGCAGUAACUGGCAUGAUGAGAUUUCAUGGAGAUUAUCGACCAAAUAAACUUCAGCAGCUUCAAGGGAACCAUUAUGGACACAUCAUGUUUAUUUCAAUAAUGACCUGCGUUCCUUUCACAAUUAUUCUCAGAGAACCUGACAGAGUUACCAUGAAAGAUGAAGAUAAUCAUUCCAGUCCAAUAUUUUUAGGCAGCCUUUUAGUGCUCAUGUCAUUCAAGCCCUGAAAGUCAAUCAUGGAAAUUGGAUGGAGACAGCUCUUGAAAAGAGACAAGGUAAAAAAAGAAAAAGGAAGAACAGGAGACAGAAUGUAAGCCAGUGAAGAGGAUGCAUUGCUGUAACUCAGGAAGUCCUGGUUCUGCUCUGUGUUACCACUGAUGUCACUGAUGACUUUGAGGAAAGACAUUGACGCCCUGGAGCGUGUUCAGAGAAGGGCAAUGAAGAUGAUGAGGGGUCUGGCGCACAAGUCUUACGAGAGUGGAUGAGGUAACUGGGACUGUUUUGUCCGGAGAAGAGGAGGCUCAAGGAAGACCUUUUUGCUAUCUACAACUCCCUGACAGGAGGCUGUGGUGAGAGGGCAUUGGCCUCUUCUGCCAGGUAACAGUGAUAGGAUGACAGGGAAUGGCCUCAGGUUGCACCAGGGGAGUUUCAGGUUGGAUAUUAGUUCCUUCUCUGAGAGAGCUAUUAGACAGUACAGCAAGUUGCUCAGAAAGGUGGCUUAGUCAUCGACCUGGGAGGUUACUUUAAUAUGAUAUGAUUCUAAUAAACAUAGAAGUGUUGUGGAAGUCCAGAAAAGAACUGUACCUCUUCCUGAAUCAGUACAUGGUUAUUUAAGGAUCAUCUUGCAUACCUAUAGUUCUGAAGUUGUGUCAUUUUUCAAUUCAUGACAGGCCAGAAAGAGAACACACAAAAUGGUAUGGUUGUUUAACCUGCUACUGAGGGCCUUCAAUUAGACAUGGCAAGUUCUCGACCCUUGCUUCAUCUUUUGGUACAUACUGUAAUAUGCUGCUGAUUUCAACUGCUAUUGUGAAAUUUAAAAAAUGCUAUACUUCAGAGUUGGUUAUAAAGCAUUUUUUCUGAUGUUCUAUAUUUAAAAAUAAAUGAGGGAAUAAAAUAUUUUUUUCAAAAACUGGGCAACAUACAAGCUUAGUGAAAACUCUG
rnacentral:lncRNA from 1 species